GAAAUUCCAAGGACAAAGUUAAUGGCAGGAGCUGAGUGCUGCUUGAGUAAAGAAGUAAGAGGACCACAUCUAUCACUCUUGAGUGUGAACAUACUCCCUUUAGCCUUUGCACUGGAAUUCAUCUUGGCAAAAUGUGCACACAUGUUGGGAGGGAUUUGGACAGGCCAGGUAUGCCAAAGAAGUGAGAUAACUGGUCAGAGGAGAACAAAGACCCAGAAGAAGUGCCCUGUUUUUUGCCUCCUUGAAACAUUCUUGCUUUCAAACCGGGACAAGAGCCAGGACAACUUCUAGCCUCUAGCCCCUGGUGGACUAGGGGUUAGGAUUCCUGGUUUUCAUCCAGGCUACUCAGGUCAAAUUGCUGGGCAGGGAACUAAGAUCCUGCUUCAAGACUGCUCCCUGCUGUCUCCCCAAGAACAUGAGAGCAUGGAUAUGCUGGAACAAAUCUCUCAAGAGUAAGGAAGGAAUGAAUUUAAGGAUAGAGAACAGUCAGCAAUUCGGCCUCUGUGUACAGAGACCAGGGCACUAAGUGAGAAUUUUGGGACAUGCAGCAUAUUCCAAGGAAGCAUGUAAUAAAUUU
ensembl:lncRNA